GACGGGGGGGGCUAGUGUUAUUCGGAAUGACUAGGCGUAAAGGGCACGUAGGCGGUGAAUCCGGUUGAAAGUGAAAGUCGCCAGCUCAACUGGCGGAAUGCUUUCAAAACCAAUUCACUUGAGUAAGAUAGAGGAUAGUGGAAUUUCGUGUGUAGAGAUAAAAUUCACAGAUAUACGAAGGAACACCAAAGCGAAGGCAGCUUCUGGGUCUCUACUGACGCUGAGGUGCGAAAGCAUAGGGAGCAAACAGG
rnacentral:rRNA from 1 species